UCCGGUUUGGCACCGGCAGUCCCCCGAGAGUCCUCAGCGCCUUGCGGCCUGUUAGCAACACGGGGCGGGGGUUGCGCUCGUUGCGGGACUUAACCCAACAUCUCACGACACGAGCUGACGACAGCCAUGCAGCACCUGUGCUGGAGCUCCGAAGAGGGGCCGAUGUUUCCACCGGCUUUCCCCAGCAUGUCAAGCCUAGGUAAGGUGGGGAUGACGUCAGUGCUUGCCU
rnacentral:misc_RNA from 1 species